UUCAAUUCUUCCCGUGGCUUUUAUGUUUUUAUUUUCCCGUGCUUUCUAUUCCUUUAAGAUUAGCAUCUGAACUAAACGAUUUCACUUCUCUUUCUCUCUACUUUGCCGUCCUUCUUCUUUGAGUCCAUCUCGAUUCGAUACCGAUGAGUGCUAUAGAUUUCCUCUCUCCAUCACCUCCUUCAACUAUUUUCCCCUCUCGAUCUGUCAUAUUCUCUGCGGAGUGCAUGCAGCCCCAUCCCCUCGUUCUUACUUUCCUCUUUUCCCUUUAUAUACCUUCCGAUCCCCUCCCUCCACUCCUCCACUUUCACAGCAGAUUGGUCAAACUCCAACCAACUUUCUACCAUUUUCAGAUCGCUUCGUUUUCUUCAUCGGAAUCCAUGGCGAAACAACCAGCUCGCGUCCUCGUUACCAGAGCCACAGGUACUGUAACGCAUCCAUAGCUUUCCUGGAUCAGAGUUUCAAAAGCCAUGUGAUUUUCCGGCCUAAGACAACCUCGAGGCUUUGUUGAUUCGAGGUUGGCUUAGGGUGGAGUGGCGGAUCUGUUGUAGCGUUCUCUGAGGACGACGGCAAAGGUUUGGAUCUACCAGGGAUCGAAGGCGUUCGAUGGGACAGGGGAGUGGGCCUGAGCCUAGAGCUUGGGUGCUCGCGAUGAGCGAUGCAAGAUUAGCGCAAUGGUUGAAUCUUCUAGUAUGUUCAGUGAUAAUGCUAAAAGCAACAGGAGUUCCUGUCGGAAUCACUGUCCUUAAGACUACGGUCGCCAAAGGAGCCGUUUGUUUGGAUGGGAGCCCCCCAGCUUACCAUUGGGAUAAGGGGUUUGGUUCAGGAGUUAACAAAUUCGAUCUUUCACAUUGAGGGAGAAGGAUGGUGUAACAAUGUCACAAAUUGCCUCGGCCGUAAGAACACUUGUUUAGGUUCAUCAAAGCAAAUGCUGAAGGAAAUUCCUUUUUCUGGAAUUCUGAGCAACAGGCAAUCACUUAAUCCAGGUUUGGUUUGUUGAUCAACAUUUCAUCUAUAAAUAAGAAGUUAAUUUCCAUAACCUUUGUGAUGGCCAUUUUCUAUCUAUGUAUUUCAUAGAUGAAUACCUGAAGAAUGUCUUUCUAUAAUUACUUUUGACUUUAUUGUUUUUCAUGAAGUGUAAUGUUAAUAAUGAUAUGAUUUCAUUAUGUGUACCAAUGCUUUCAUUAACUAGACAGUUUUGUUUCUUGUGAAUGUUUGUUGUACUGAUCGAACACCUGUUCAAGGACAAUCAGUUCUCCAUCAAAAGCCGUCUGAAUUUCUCCAUAUCAGAGACUGUCUGCUGAUGUUCCUGUACAACUUCAUGAGAGGUUUCAAGGUGAGAGUAUCACUAGGUCCUCAGUUAUAGAGGAACCUGGAGACCAUGGAGAAGCACACUUAGUAGCUCUGGGUGAAUUAGAAUUCCGUAAACAAUUUCUAAUAUUAAGUGAUGCUGGAGGCUCAUGAUGAGAGUCAUGCACAAGAUGCGUCGUGGGGGUUGUCUAACAUAAGGGCUGUUGACGAAACUUAAAAUCAGGUUGACAGUCCAUCCGAAAACCCAGUCAAUAAGGACGAGAUCAGUGAGGUGCCAGAUUUAUAUCUUGGUGCAAGCAUUCAUCUCUCAAGAGAUCCUAAUAAUGUUAAGGAUCCCAAUGCCAUCCAGUGUAGGACCUAUUGCUAUAGAGAGAAGAAGAGUGGUGGAGAAGGAGAUAGACACAAAGAAGAACAUAGCUAUCAAUGAAUGAAUGAAGCAAAGAAGAAUACCAAUGCGGUUGAACUUAUGCGCUUGAAUUCUGAUUAUGUAGGUCAUGAUACUUAGCCUACUGAGCGUCAGCAUUAUGUAUUUUAAUUUUUGAAUGUUUUUGUAUUUUCAAGAUUGGUGAAGUUGUAUGAAAUGUAUAGAAAUAAUGUGAAAAAAACAUAUGAAAUUAUGAUUUAUAUGGCU